AAUAAACGAAUUCCUAAGUUUUUGAUUAAAUUUUUGACUCUUCGUCUUAUUUGAAAUUUUUCAUGAUUAAUAUUUUUAUUAUUAUUACAAAAUAAAACAUGAAUAGUACUUUGCAUGUGACUAAUUUUUUUAAUGUUUUAAUAAAUUUUUCAAAUAAGACGGAUGGUAAAACGUUCCAUAGACAAAACUCAAA
rnacentral:pre_miRNA from 1 species